rnacentral:rRNA from 1 species
UGGCGGACGGGUGAGAAAUGUCUGGGUUAACUGCCCGAUGGAGGGGGAUAACUACUGGAAACGGUAGCUAAUACCGCAUAACGUCGCAAGACCAAAGAGGGGGACCUUCGGGCCUCUUGCCAUCGGAUGUGCCCAGAUGGGAUUAGCUAGUAGGUGGGGUAACGGCUCACCUAGGCGACGAUCCCUAGCUGGUCUGAGAGGAUGACCAGCCACACUGGAACUGAGACACGGUCCAGACUCCUACGGGAGGCAGCAGUGGGGAAUAUUGCACAAUGAGCGCAAGCCUGAUGCAGCCAUGCCGCGUGUAUGAAGAAGGCCUUCGGGUUGUAAAGUACUUUCAGCGAGGAGGAAGGCGUUGUGGUUAAUAACCGCAACGAUUGACGUUACUCGCAGAAGAAGCACCGGCUAACUCCGUGCCAGCAGCCGCGGUAAU